AGAGUUUGAUCCUGGCUCAGGAUGAACGCUAGCGGCAGGCCUAAUACAUGCAAGUCGAACGGGAUCCAAUUUAAAGCUUGCUUUAGAUUGGUGAGAGUGGCGCACGGGUGCGUAACGCGUGAGCAACCUACCCAUAUCAGGGGGAUAGCCCGAAGAAAUUCGGAUUAACACCGCAUAACACAGCUGUAUCGCAUGAUACUACUGUUAAAUAUUUAUAGGAUAUGGAUGGGCUCGCGUGACAUUAGCUAGUUGGUAAGGUAACGGCUUACCAAGGCGACGAUGUCUAGGGGCUCUGAGAGGAGAAUCCCCCACACUGGUACUGAGACACGGACCAGACUCCUACGGGAGGCAGCAGUAAGGAAUAUUGGUCAAUGGACGGAAGUCUGAACCAGCCAUGCCGCGUGCAGGAUGACUGCCCUAUGGGUUGUAAACUGCUUUUGUCAGGGAAUAAACCUACUUACGUGUGAGUAGCUGAAUGUACCUGAAGAAUAAGGAUCGGCUAACUCCGUGCCAGCAGCCGCGGUAAUACGGAGGAUCCGAGCGUUAUCCGGAUUUAUUGGGUUUAAAGGGUGCGUAGGCGGCCUAUUAAGUCAGGGGUGAAAGACGGCAGCUCAACUGUCGCAGUGCCUUUGAUACUGAUGGGCUUGAAUGCUAUUGAAGAUGGCGGAAUGAGACAAGUAGCGGUGAAAUGCAUAGAUAUGUCUCAGAACACCGAUUGCGAAGGCAGCUAUCUAAGCAGUAAUUGAUGCUGAUGCACGAAAGCGUGGGGAUCAAACAGGAUUAGAUACCCUGGUAGUCCACGCCCUAAACG
rnacentral:rRNA from 1 species